GAAGGGAAGAAGCCCAAGAUUGAAAGCUGUGCGUCUUCGGCGUCCGCAUUGUAAUCUCAAGAAGUGUUUUCCGCUUCGGACCAUGCCUAAGUCCCUUGGAAAAGGGCAUCAUAGAGGGUGAUAAUCCCGUACAUGGCAUGGAGCGCCCGAAGCUUUGUGAUACGCUUUCUAAGAGUCGAGUUGUUUGGGAAUGCAGCUCAAAAUGGGUGGUAAAUGCCAUCUAAGGCUAAAUAUUGGGGAGAGACCGAUAGCGAACAAGUACAGUGAUGGAAAGAUGAAAAGAACUUUGAAAAGAGAGUUAAACAGUACGUGAAAUUGCCAAAAGGGAAGGGUAGGAGGUCAGAGAUGCGGCCUGGGAUUCAGCCUUGCUUUUGCUUGGUGUUUUUCCCAGAUUGCAGGCCAACGUCGGUUUUGGGCACUGGAGAAGGGUAGGAGGAACGUGGCACCUCUCGGGGUGUGUUAUAGCCUCCUACUGGAUACAGCGACCGAGACCGAGGACAGCAGCGUACUCGCAAGAGCGGGCCUUCGGGCACCUUUACGCUUAGGGCGUUGGCAUAAUGGCCCUCUACCAC
rnacentral:rRNA from 1 species